rnacentral:rRNA from 1 species
GACGAACGCUGGCUUUGUGCUUAACACAUGCAAGUCGAACGGAAAGGCCCUGCUUUUGUGGGGUGCUCGAGUGGCGAACGGGUGAGUAACACGUGAGUAACCUGCCCUUGACUUUGGGAUAACUUCAGGAAACUGGGGCUAAUACCGGAUAGGAGCUCCUGCUGCAUGGUGGGGGUUGGAAAGUUUCGGCGGUUGGGGAUGGACUCGCGGCUUAUCAGCUUGUUGGUGGGGUAGUGGCUUACCAAGGCUUUGACGGGUAGCCGGCCUGAGAGGGUGACCGGCCACAUUGGGACUGAGAUACGGCCCAGACUCCUACGGGAGGCAGCAGUGGGGAAUAUUGCACAAUGGGCGGAAGCCUGAUGCAGCAACGCCGCGUGCGGGAUGACGGCCUUCGGGUUGUAAACCGCUUUCGCCUGUGACGAAGCGUGAGUGACGGUAAUGGGUAAAGAAGCACCGGCUAACUACGUGCCAGCAGCCGCGGUGAUACGUAGGGUGCGAGCGUUGUCCGGAUUUAUUGGGCGUAAAGGGCUCGUAGGUGGUUGAUCGCGUCGGAAGUGUAAUCUUGGGGCUUAACCCUGAGCGUGCUUUCGAUACGGGUUGACUUGAGGAAGGUAGGGGAGAAUGGAAUUCCUGGUGGAGCGGUGGAAUGCGCAGAUAUCAGGAGGAACACCAGUGGCGAAGGCGGUUCUCUGGGCCUUUCCUGACGCUGAGGAGCGAAAGCGUGGGGAGCGAACAGGCUUAGAUACCCUGGUAGUCCACGCUGUAAACGGUGGGUACUAGGUGUGGGGUCCAUUCCACGGGUUCCGUGCCGUAGCUAACGCUUUAAGUACCCCGCCUGGGGAGUACGGCCGCAAGGCUAAAACUCAAAGGAAUUGACGGGGCCCCGCACAAGCGGCGGAGCAUGCGGAUUAAUUCGAUGCAACGCGUAGAACCUUACCUGGGUUUGACAUGGAUCGGGAGUGCUCAGAGAUGGGUGUGCCUCUUUUGGGGUCGGUUCACAGGUGGUGCAUGGCUGUCGUCAGCUCGUGUCGUGAGAUGUUGGGUUAAGUCCCGCAACGAGCGCAACCCUUGUUCACUGUUGCCAGCACGUUAUGGUGGGGACUCAGUGGAGACCGCCGGGGUCAACUCGGAGGAAGGUGGGGAUGACGUCAAGUCAUCAUGCCCCUUAUGUCCAGGGCUUCACGCAUGCUACAAUGGCCGGUACAGAGAGUGGCGAGCCUGUGAGGGUGAGCGAAUCUCGGAAAGCCGGUCUCAGUUCGGAUUGGGGUCUGCAACUCGACCUCAUGAAGUCGGAGUCGCUAGUAAUCGCAGAUCAGCAACGCUGCGGUGAAUACGUUCCCGGG